rnacentral:rRNA from 1 species
AAAGGAAUUGACGGGACCGCACAAGCAGCGGAGCGUGUGGUUUAAUUCGAUGCUACACGAAGAACCUCACCAGGGUUUGACAUGCAAGUGGUAGGAAACUGAAAGGGACGACCCUUCGGGGAGCUUGCACAGGUGCUGCAUGGCUGUCGUCAGCUCGUGUCGUGAGAUGUUCGGUUAAGUCCGCUAACGAGCGCAACCCUCACUGUGUGUUAUACGUGUCACACGGGACUGCCGGUUUUAAGCCGGAGGAAGGUGGGGAUGACGUCAAGUCAGCAUGGCCUUUAUAUCCUGGGCUACACACACGCUACAAUGGUCGGUACAAUAGGUUGCCAAGCCGCGAGGCGGAGCCAAUCCAUAAAGCCGGCCUCAGUUCAGAUUGUAGGCUGCAACUCGCCUGCAUGAAGAUGGAGUUGCUAGUAACCGCAGGUCAGCAAUACUGCGGUGAAUACGUUCCCGGGUCUU